UACGUAGGGUGCAAGCGUUGUCCGGAAUUAUUGGGCGUAAAGGGCUCGUAGGCGGUCUGUUGCGUCAGGAGUGAAAACUCGGGGCUUAACCCCGAGCCUGCUUCUGAUACGGGCAGACUAGAGGUAUGCAGGGGAGAACGGAAUUCCUGGUGUAGCGGUGAAAUGCGCAGAUAUCAGGAGGAACACCGGUGGCGAAGGCGGGUCUCUGGGCCGAUAUUGACGCUGAGGAGCGAAAGCGUGGGGAGCAAACAGG
rnacentral:rRNA from 1 species